CUGUUUUAGAAAAACUUUUGGGUUCCUUUCAAAAAGAACUGUUUCAAAAGACCUAGUUAGUGAGCUACUAAUAGUUGUAGUAACUGGAUGACAGACCAUACCUGCAAUCUAUUUUUCUUGUGCUCUGAGGACAGAAAAUGUUAAAAAACUAAUUGAGAACAAAGAUAUCUAGCAUGUUUCAUUCUCCGUACAUGUUAAUUUUCGUAGGUUUGGUACCACGUAUGUAGCAGCCGUGGAAAAGGGUGUUACAACACAAGACUCAAGGAAGAUGGUGGCUGUACCAUAUAGUACUAUGAGAUGCAGUUGCUGUCUGAGAUAGAAGAACAUCUGAACUGUACCAUUUCUCAGGUUGAGCCAGAUAUAAAGGUACCAGUGGAUGAAUUUGAUGGGAAAGUUACUUAUGGUCAAAAAAGAACUGCUGGUGGUGGAAGCUAUAAAGGCCAUGUGGAUAUUUUGGCACCUACGGUUCAAGAGCUGGCUGCCCUUGAAAAGGAGGCACAGACGUCUUUCCUGCAUCUUGGCUACCUUCCUAACCAGUUGUUCAGAACCUUCUGAUCUGAUUUUAACGUACACUGAAUAAGAUUUGAAUAAUAAAAGUCUAUAGUCUUAAAACUCUAAAAUAGUUGUACUGCUUCCAAGCAGCAGUAUUUAUAGUAACUUAAGCUAUUAAUGCUAACUCUUGCAUGUCAAGAAACAUCAGUCUUAGGAAUUCUUCAUAGAAUGGCAACCUAAUGAAAACAAUAAAUUUGAUGACUAUA